rnacentral:rRNA from 1 species
UACGGAGGGGGCUAGCGUUGUUCGGAAUUACUGGGCGUAAAGCGCACGUAGGCGGCUUUGUAAGUUAGAGGUGAAAGCCCAGGGCUUAACCCUGGAAUUGCCUUUAAGACUGCAUCGCUAGAAUCGUGGAGAGGUGAGUGGAAUUCCGAGUGUAGAGGUGAAAUUCGUAGAUAUUCGGAAGAACACCAGUGGCGAAGGCGACUCACUGGACCGUAACUGACGCUGAGGCGCGAAAGCGUGGGGAGCAAACAGG